UGCUAGUUGCACGAGUUUAGACUCGUAGCAGAUAGCUCAGUAACACGUGGCCAAACUACCCUAUGGAUCCGAAUAACCUCGGGAAACUGAGGCUAAUGCGGAAUAGCGUUCAUCGCCUGGAGUGGCACGAACGCGAAACGUUACGGCGCCAUAGGAUGUGGCUGCGGCCGAUUAGGUAGACGGUGGGGUAACGGCCCACCGUGCCCAUAAUCGGUACGGGUUGUGAGAGCAAGAGCCCGGAGACGGUAUCUGAGACAAGAUACCGGGCCCUACGGGGCGCAGCAGGCGCGAAACCUUUACACUGCACGCGAGUGCGAUAAGGGGACUCCGAGUGCGAGGGCAUAUAGUCCUCGCUUUUCACGACCGUAAGGUGGUCGUAGAAUAAGUGCUGGGCAAGACCGGUGCCAGCCGCCGCGGUAAUACCGGCAGCACGAGUGAUGACCGCUAUUAUUGGGCCUAAAGCGUCCGUAGCUGGCCACGCAAGUCUAUCGGGAAAUCCGCGCGCUUAACGCGCGGGCGUCCGGUGGAAACUGCGUGGCUUGGGACCGGAAGACCAGAGGGGUACGUCCGGGGUAGGAGUGAAAUCCCGUAAUCCUGGACGGACCACCGGUGGCGAAAGCGCCUCUGGAAGACGGAUCCGACGGUGAGGGACGAAAGCUCGGGUCACGAACCGGAUUAGAUACCCGGGUAGUCCGAGCUGUAAACGAUGUCUGCUAGGUGUGGCACAGGCUACGAGCCUGUGCUGUGCCGUAGGGAAGCCGUGAAGCAGACCGCCUGGGAAGUACGUCCGCAAGGAUGAAACUUAAAGGAAUUGGCGGGGGAGCACUACAACCGGAGGAGCCUGCGGUUUUAUUGGACUCAACGCCGGACAUCUCACCAGCAU
rnacentral:rRNA from 1 species